AUUUGAUUAUGAAAUUAUCACCUUCCGUGUCUCUGAAAGGGUGACUUUUUUAAACAAUUUUUGUAAGGAAAUUUAUCAGUUCUUAUGGCUGGAAUACAGUUCAACAUAAUUCCAAAAUGUAGUUUUGUUAAUAUGGUUUAUGUUAUGAGCUUGACCCUGUUAUGGUAGACAGGUAGUUUCUUAGGGUUUAGGUUGGUGAUCUAGGAAGAACUUCUUGUGAACACAGAAGUGAAAAGUGUAAUACUUAAGCUGCCAAUUUGUGUAAAAGCUAAACUUGAUCACUUAUCCACACUGAGAGUGAAUGGUACGAAUGGACGUGGAUGCAUAGUUAUGCAAAUCAUUGUUGUGUUGGAGUCUUAAUUCCAACAUAGUUUCAAGGAAAUGCUAAGGGCAUCUAAGCGUUCCCAGACUCUGCAAUGACAGGAGACUCAUUGACUGGCCUGCUCGUUUUCUUCUUUUGUGUGUGUGUGUGUGUUGGAAUUCUAAUUCCAUUGGUGUUGUCAAGCAUGUCUUGAUUGUUUAUGAGGAAUAGGAUCCAAUCCAACAUGCAUACAGAGAUGGUUGUUGUUAGAUUAUUUGGAGUGCUUGUGUCUAGGGUGGUUGACCAGUAAUGACAAAUGCAAGAGUGCUGGAAAAUUUACUUGCUUCAGUGUUUGUUUUUCUUGUUUAACAUAAAGUGAUGACUUGGUCUCAUUCAAGUGCAUUAUUGGAAUCUAAACUUGUGUUUAUUUCUGGCUGGGACAUGAGAACCUCAUUUUAAAUCACAUCCUCCACCCUGUGUGGUUAAAGUUUAUUGGCAUAUCUUAUUUAUUCGUUCAGGAUAGAUUGAGAAUUUAUUGUGUAAGAUACACAUCUCCACUCUUUGUUCUUGUAGAGAGUGAAGGAUGAGGUUCAG
rnacentral:misc_RNA from 1 species